CGUGUUGUGACACUAAGCAAGUAUGUAGGUGCAAAUUAAGGGAAUGAGUUCACUGAACACAAUCGAAUCAGAGUACUUGCAUGGAGGUCUACUCACAUUUCAAGCAAGUAACUCAAAUGGUUGGAAUAAUGUAAGUAAUCCUUUGACCUGAGGCAUCGUCGUUGUCUUGUGGUUAAGUACUUAAUCUUUGAUUAUGUCAACGUCACUCUAAUAGAAUGUCAACGGCAUAGUUGGGGUUAAGCCACUUAGUCAUGAAGGCAAGUGUAUGCGCAACAAGGAAU
rnacentral:lncRNA from 1 species